rnacentral:misc_RNA from 1 species
GCAUUGAGGACAAGAUCGCC